GAUGAACGCUGGCGGCGUGCUUAACACAUGCAAGUCGAACGAUGAAGCCAGCUUGCUGGUGGAUUAGUGGCGAACGGGUGAGUAACACGUGAGUAACCUGCCCUUAACCCUGGGAUAAGCCUGGGAAACUGGGUCUAAUACCGGAUAUGACUCCUCAUCGCAUGGUGGGGGGUGGAAAGCUUUUGUGGUUUUGGAUGGACUCGCGGCCUAUCAGCUUGUUGGUGAGGUAAUGGCUCACCAAGGCGACGACGGGUAGCCGGCCUGAGCGGGUGACCGGCCACACUGGGACUGAGACAGCGGCCAGACUCCUACGGGAGGCAGCAGUGGGGAAUAGUGCACAAUGGGCGGAAGCCUGAUGCAGCGACGCCGCGUGAGGGAUGACGGCCUUCGGGGUGUAAGCCUCUUUCAGUAGGGAAGAAGCGUAAGUGACGGUACCUGCAGAAGAAGCGCCGGCUAACUACGUGCCAGCAGCCGCCGUAAAAC
rnacentral:rRNA from 1 species